GCCCGGCCAUGGAAACCCAUUCCAUGAAGCUCUCUGCGCACUGUUCUUGAGCUAAUCUGAAGGUCACAUGAAGUUUGGAGGUCUGUAGCGAUUGACUCUGCAGAAAGUUGGCGACCUCUUCACACUAUGCGCCUCAGCAUCCGCUGACCCCGUUCCGUCAGUUUACGUGGCCUACCACUUCGUGGCUGAGUUGCUGUCGUUCCCAAACACUUCCACGUUCUUAUAAUACAGCUGACAGUUGACUGUGGAAUAUUUAGGAGCGAGGAAAUUUCACGACUGGAUUUGUUGCACAGGUGGCAUCCUAUCACAGUUCCACGCUGGAAUUCACUGAGCUCCUGAGAGCGACCCAUUCUUUCACAAAUGUUUGUAAAAACAGUCUGCAUGCCUAGGUGCUUGAUUUUAUACACCUGUGGCCAUGGAAGUGAUUGGAACACCUGAUUCUGAUUAUUUGGAUGGGUGAGCGAAUACUUUUGGCAAUAUAGUGUAUGUUAAUUCAAUUUUCAAUUCAAUUCAAUUUUAUUUGUAUAGCGCUUUUAACAAAGAGCAUUGUCUCAAAGCAGCUUUACAUGAGAAAAGACAUAAGAAAACAACAAACAUAUGAACAGACAAACAGACAGACAGUCCUAGAUGUUAUCCCAAGUGAGCAAGCCUGAGGUGACUGAGGCGACUGUGGCAAGGAAAAACUCCCUUAGAUGGUAUGAGGAAGAAACCUUGAGAGGAACCGGACUCAAGAGGGAACCCAUCCUCAUUUGUUACUACAGGAUAUACAUUUUCAACAGCUAUUUACUGGCAGUAUUCAUGGAAAAGAUUUAUGCAGCUACUGAUUGCUGGAUUCUCUCUGUCCCUGCCAUUUCUCAGCCCUCCUUACAGACUCCUCCUAAUUUCCUCCCAUUUGGUCCUGCUGGGAAUUGCUGAGGGAAAUGAGUAGAUGCUACAACCCCAGCUCUGUCUGCACACACAGCACUGAGCUCUGAGACCCUUCCUUAUGUCCUGCUUAUGCAAUGUGACUGGAGAUCUCACAAAGAAGACAGAAAGCUGCAGAUGUGUUAACAAGAUGGUGUUCUGGCACAGUAAGAAAAAGAUGGAAUUGAGCUGUUGUUGUUGUACAACAUGAAUCAACACCUUCUGACCAAUCAGAUACAAGAAUUUAUUAAUUAAGUGGUGAGUACAACAAAAGACAUAUAAAGUAGUGAUAUGUCUUAAAGGACUGCUAUUAAUGGUAUAUGUUUGCCCUGUGGUCAGGAAAUCACAAAUUCUAGUGAUGACACAGCCAUUCCAGGGUGUAGAAUUAGGUGUGAAUUGGCCA